GGUUGCAAGUUCUUUAUCGUCAAGCAAAUUUAAUCUCACCUUUAGUCUGAUUUGAGCAUCAUUUCUCAUAUCUUUUCAUGUAAUGAAAAGCCCUUACUUGAGUCCUGCAAUCACAGCAGCACCAUCAGGAAGGGGAAAUGAGCAGGGCUGUUAUAACCAGAACACACUGUACCUUUUUAAACAUUAACCAUUGUUCAGGUCUGUAGACCUGGCUGCUCGAGGCAGUGAUGGGAAUCUGGAACGCAUGCAAAAAAAAAAAAACGUUCGUAUGGAAAAUUUUAGAGUUCCCAUAUCUGCCUCGAUCCGUGAAAGUAUUACACCAAACGUGUAUCUAUUACACACACAUACAUAAAAAACAUAUUUAUUUAUUUAUUUAGUUAUUUUUGUCUUUUUGCCUUUUAGGGCCGCAACGGCAGCAUAUGGAGGCUCCUGGGCUAGGGGCCGAAUUGGAGCUGUCGCCACUGGCCUACACCACAGCCACAGCAACGUGGGAUCCCAGCCGUGUCUGCAACCUACACCACAGCUCAUGGCGACGCCGGAUCCUUAACCCACUGAGCGAGGCCAGGGAUGGAACCCACGUCCUCGUGAAUGCUAGUCGGGUUCAUUAACCACUGAGCCACAACAGGAACUCCAUGCAAAACAUAUUUAAAUCAUUUAAGCCAGAAUGACCUCAUGCCAUUAGAACAUCACUACGAAAGAAGAUUCUGUUCCAUGAGGAACUUUGUUCAAGCAAUUAGAAAGAACUGGUUAAUCUUUGCUAUUCGAUGGCACAGCCUAGGCAUAUGUGGGUUGUCAUUGAUUGUUACAUGCCAAGGAGCACUUUUUGGUGCUUUCUCAAUUUUAUUUAUUUUUCUAUAAAUGUGAAUCAUAGGAAGUAGCAUUUAAAUGAUUCUAUCCAAAAUGCAAUGGCUGCAGUCAUCAUCUUUGUCAUUUUGCUACUGAGGACUUACUAUGCCAGGUACAGUGCAAAUGACUUUUAUACAUUAGAUCAUAGCACUUGGCAUUUACUUCUAUUCUGGUAUUUCUCAAGGUGAACUAAAUACAUAUAAAAUACAUUAUAUAAGCAUCUGUCUCCACUAAAUUCUGCCUGCACUGUAGUCUCCCGGGUGCAAGGCCUACACCUUACUCUGCGUGGUACCCCAGCACACUGCUUAUAUGGGGCACUCAAUUCAUGUCUGUUAGGUGAAUAGAAACAACUCGCGGUAACAAAAUCAUACCACUUUUAGGAUCGGAUCUUAAAAAAAUAUUUUGGCCAUGCUGCUUUGACGCAGUGUUUUUUCUAUUCACAGUAUCUGGAAACAGACUCUAUCCCACCCGUAGGGCAAUAGUUAAACACAAGCAAGGGCUGAUGUCACAGACACACUUGGUGAACUUUAGCAGAACGGACACAUGUUUACUAGGAAGAUGCUGCCAUUCGGAGAGAGAAAUGCACUGGACGUUGGGAGACAUAUGGAGCAUCUGCUUCUUAGUCUCCUUUUAGAGUUUCAGGUCGGAACUUUCUCCAGCCUUUUCACCUUCAGAUUGUCUGAAGGGCUCUCUUCUUGUUUGCCCUGUCUGGCCACUUGCUUUUUGAUUAAUUACUUGGGUUUUUUUGCAUCCUUUUCCCACCAUUCUAAGCCAUCUUAGCUGCUUUUUUGUUGUUGUUGUUACUUAUCUGUUCCCACAAUGCUAUCAAAGACACACUGGCAUUUUUGCAGCAAAGUAUCCUACCAGCUGAUGGUUCCUAUCUUGUUUUGAAUGAUCCUUUUUAGUGGCUACUUUGCAUUGCUCCUGGGUUCAGGUAACCUUCACUCUCCAGCAAGACGGCGGUCCAGUCCAUUUUGGGUGGAAUAUAAUUGGACCUUUCUACUGAAUAACAAUAAAAUAAUAAUAAGUAAGUGUUUGCCCUAAAAGAGCAUUUGCUUGGUUCUGCACGAAUUGGAAGCGAUUAUUUGCACAUGAUCAAUGAAUUAGCCCAAUUCCUAAUCCUAUUAGAAACGCUAAUCUUGUGAGAACGGAGACAACCAUUCAUCAAAGGGCUGAGCUGACCAGACUGUGCCUGUCUCCACUAUCCUGGCUCUGCGAGAAUGGAAGGAAAAGAAUAUUCGUUCAGCGCCCACCAUAUUCCAAACAUUGGGCAAGGAGCUCUCAUACAUCCAGUGACGCUAAUCCUCAUGCCAAUCCUUCAAAGCAGGACCACAGGCAGCCUUGCUCCUGCUGGAAAAUCUGAACAGCAGCGAGAUUAAGUAGCCUGACCUAGGUCACACAGCCAGGAAGUGGCAAGUUUACAAGUGGGGGCUUGAACUCAGGGUUUUAUGAGUCCAAAGUCUGCCAUGCUGUUGUUACAGCAGUUGCAGGAUUUGGUUAGAUAGCUGGUGACAACGUUCAGGCAGGUAAAGACCAAAAAAGCAAGGUAACAGGUCAUCUCUACAGGGCUGAUUCCAGCCUCCUGCUGACACGCACUCCAGGACUCACCCCACACUGACAAUGACACAGGUACCUGAAAUGAGAAGUCACGUUAUCCCUGAUGGACUGCGGAGAGUCACUGACCUUAGGCAUCAGGAUUUAUGGCCAUGGCCCUAAUACUGACUGCUGACUCUGUCAUAUGGCCAGGGACUAGCCCCAUGGGCAGAAAGGGCUUGUGGACCAGUGGAGCCCUUCUCUAUCUCUAAUCAUCUGUAUUUUUUUUCUGGAAAUUCCACCAUCGUAAAAAAUCAUUCUCUAGGACUUGCUUUCUUCUCUCCAAAAUAUCCUGCUGAAAGAGAUAGAGCCUUAAAAAGGUAACAACCCUUUCUUACCCAGCAUCCUGGCAGGAUAGAGCUGGGCAAAGCCCACAGGCCAGGUACUUGAGUGGACAACCAAGAAGCUGAGUUCUAGAAGAGACACUUCCCCCUUACCGCAGCAUCCCACACCUUGCCUUCCGUCCCAUCUUUGUGUUUCCAUUUUCCUCCUGGUAAAAUAUCAGGAAUAAUGAGACCGUCGGGACAGAAAUGGAAACAGGAAUGGACUUAAACGACAGGUUUUGCUGAACCACAGGCCAAGCGAACUUUGAGCAUUUAUUUUUAUUUUUAUUCUACGUUUUGGUCUUUCUAGGACUGCAUCCAUGGCACAUGGAGGUUCCCAAGUUAGGGGCUGAAUCAGAGCUACAGCUGCUGGCCCACACCCCAGACACACACCCCACAGCCACGCCAGAUCCAAGCCUUGUCUUGCGACCUACACCACAGCUCACAGCAACGCCAGGUCCUUAACCCACUGAGAGAGGCCAGGGAUGGAACCUGCAUCCCUCAUGGAUGCUAGUCAGAUCCGUGUCUGCUGAGCCACAACGGGAACUCCAGCAUUUACGUUUUUAGUAAACAAUUUUAGAAGAGUUUUAGAUUUAUGGAAAAGUUGUGAAGCUAUCUUCACAGACAGACAGUGUAUUAUGAACUGUCUUAACACCGCCAGUUCCAUGUCCCUCACACUCAGUUUCCCCACUGUUUACAUCUGACAUCUGCAUGGAACAUCUGUCACAACGAAGGAACCAAAAAUAAUGUAGUACCAGUGAUUAGAGACCCUACUUUAUUCAAAUUUCCCUAGUUUUCACCUACUAUCCUUGUAUGUUCCCAUCGAGUCGCAUAUCUCUUCUGGCUGUCUAGACGGUGACAGUUUCCCAGGCUUUCCCCAUUUGGGAUUGACCUUCACAAUUUAAGGAGUAAAGGUCAUGUGACACAUAGAAAGAGUUUCCGUUUGGGUUUAUCUGAUGUUUUUGUCACGGUUGGAUGGGGGUAACGGGUUGGGGAGAGGACCACCUCAGAGGAAAAGUGGCCUUCUCAUCAGACCUUGUCACAGGGACAUGACAUAGCACUGUUGGCUUAACAUCUGUUUGUAAAGAAAACAGAUCAUGUGGCAAGCCAGUGUGAACCAGAGGCGGACCUGUCCACUUUCUCAAAAGACAGAACUGGCCCAGAAUCAGGUUGUCCAUGACUCUGGAAACAAACGAAUGUUCUGUUUCAUUCAGUCCAAGUUGCUGGUUGUAACAUUUAUGCAAGCUCCUUUUGCAGAAAACAUUUGGAGGCUCCCAAGGGGGGAAAAAAAGGCUGUCUUAAAUAUAGAAUGCAGUUAAGAUGCCAUGUAUGAAGAAUUUCACCAAACUGCGGCAACGGAGCGCUGUGGUUACAGAAUACCAGCUGCGAAACGCUGCCGGGUGAACCCGCAGGCCCUGAGUCCCCGAAAGAGAUAUUAGCAAUGAACCCUAUUUUCACAUUUCCUGGCUCCCCUGAACUCAUUUCCAAACUGCCUGGCUGCUCCUAGGAGUCUGUACCGUUACCUUGUAGGGAAAGUUCUGGCAGAGCCACAUGUCAUGUGUGUUGCAUAAGAACUUCAUUGCAAUGGUUUAACUCUGAUUAAAUUUAGCUGUCAGCCUUUAAAGUUCCCUGAGAAGCUUUCAAACUCAGAAAGGGAAGAGGCACCCCAGCAGGUUCUCUGCAAUCCCUCCCCUCUCACCUCCCUGUAAGCUCUUUACCAAGGAGCAGGGAGAGGCCAGCAUCACGCAGCCAGCCAUCGUUUGCCAGGCUGGGAGGUGCCUGAUGGAAAAGGAUUCUCCCCUCUCUGCGCCUGGCCCUGUCAGGGAAAGCUUCGGGAGCUCCCCACAGGGCCUGCCACUCCUGCAUCUUUCUAGUUUCGAAGGCUCCCUUUAGCUCCUGGCUUCUCAGGUCAAUACAGGCUGUAGCUUUUUAUUUUUAUUUUCAUUUCUAAAUUAAAAAUGGGAGA
rnacentral:lncRNA from 1 species